UUAGACCACCCAGCGGUGAAUUUUGCGGCUGGGCGGUUCCUAGACUCUUCUUUUCUUCAAUUUUCUUGCUCUGUCCUGAGUCUAAAACCUUCAUUUUCAACCCCAAUCUUCACUUUCAUCAAAACUGCUGCAAAACAAUGCAAAAGAAGCAUAAUAUCGCUAAAAACACCUUUUGAUUCUCAACUGACUCAUUUAUUGAGUUUUGCAUGAUUCUAAGCUCAUUCUAAGCCUUAAAGGGCGUAAUUU
rnacentral:lncRNA from 1 species